rnacentral:rRNA from 1 species
CUUGAAGUCUUAGUGGCGCAGCUAACGCACUAAGUAGACCGCCUGGGGAGUACGGCCGCAAGGUUAAAACUCAAAUGAAUUGACGGGGGCCCGCACAAGCGGUGGAGCAUGUGGUUUAAUUCGACGCAACGCGAAGAACCUUACCUGGCCUUGACAUGCAGAGAACUUUCCAGAGAUGGAUUGGUGCCUUCGGGAACUCUGACACAGGUGCUGCAUGACCGUCGUCAGCUCGUGUCGUGAGAUGUUGGGUUAAGUCCCGUAACGAGCGCAACCCCUAUCCCUAGUUGCUAGCAGUUCGGCUGAGAACUCUAGGGAGACUGCCGGUGACAAACCGGAGGAAGGUGGGGAUGACGUCAGGUCAUCAUGGCCCUUACGGCCAGGGCUACACACGUGCUACAAUGGUGCGUACAGAGGGCUGCAAACCCGCGAGGGGGAGCUAAUCUCACAAAACGCAUCGUAGUCCGGAUCGGAGUCUGCAACUCGACUCCGUGAAGUCGGAAUCGCUAGUAAUCGCGAAUCAGAAUGUCGCGGUGAAUACGUUCCCGGGCCUUGUACACACCGCCCGUCACACCAUGGGAGUGGAUUGCACCAGAAGUGGUUAGUCUAACCUUCGGGAGGA